AACGAACGCUGGCGGCAUGCCUAACACAUGCAAGUCGAACGAGAUCCUUCGGGGUCUAGUGGCGCACGGGUGCGUAACGCGUGGGAAUCUGUCCUUAGGUUCGGAAUAACAGUUAGAAAUGACUGCUAAUACCGGAUGAUGACGUUAAGUCCAAAGAUUUAUCGCCUGAGGAUGAGCCCGCGUAGGAUUAGCUAGUUGGUGUGGUAAAGGCGCACCAAGGCGACGAUCCUUAGCUGGUCUGAGAGGAUGAUCAGCCACACUGGGACUGAGACACGGCCCAGACUCCUACGGGAGGCAGCAGUGGGGAAUAUUGGACAAUGGGCGCAAGCCUGAUCCAGCAAUGCCGCGUGAGUGAUGAAGGCCUUAGGGUUGUAAAGCUCUUUUACCCGGGAUGAUAAUGACAGUACCGGGAGAAUAAGCCCCGGCUAACUCCGUG
rnacentral:rRNA from 1 species